rnacentral:misc_RNA from 1 species
UUUCCGUAGGUGAACCUGCGGAAGGAUCAUUAUUGAAUAAACCUGAUGUGGUUGUAGCUGGCCCUUUCGGGAGCAUGUGCACACCCGUCGUCCUUAUCUUUCCACCUGUGCACCUUUUGUAGACCUGGAUGUAACACUUUCCGAGGCAACUCGGUCGGGAGGAAUGCUGUCAGCUUUCCUUGAAUGUCCAGGCCUAUGUUUUCAUAUACCCCAAAGAAUGUAACAGAAUGUAUUAUUGGGCCUUGUGCCUAUAAACUAUAUACAACUUUCAGCAACGGAUCUCUUGGCUCUC